rnacentral:lncRNA from 1 species
GUGUGUGUGUGUAUGCGUGUGUCAGUCAGAGAGAGGGUAUACAGUAUAAAGCUCUUAAGCCAUGUAAAAUAAUGUUACCAUACAGGAUAGGUAUAUCACCUCAAUACUUUAUUAAAUAAUAAACAUCAUCAUAAUGAAACAAGGAAACUAAAAAUUGCAUUCUAACACAUGACAAACAAGUUCCAUAGUUUUCAUGUUGAAGAUAUCCCUAACAACAGUACUAGAAAUACAUGUGGUGGCUUUACAAAAGUCACUCUGGGCUCACUUCAUUUUUAGUUUCUUCCAAUGCCAUUGUCAGUGCCCAUGGGCAGGUAACCAUGGAAACCUGGGGUAAGGGUGGCAUCGACCAUGAGAGACUGAAAGAUUACAGGUCUGUGAGAGACUGAAGGAUUACAGGUCUGUGAGAGACUGAAGGAUUACAGGUCUGUGAGAGACUGAAGGAUUACAGGUCUGUGAGAGACUGAAGGAUUACAGGUCUGUGAGAGACUGAAGGAUUACAGGUCUGUGAGAGACUGAAGGAUUACAGGUCUGUGAGAGACUGAAGGAUUACAGGUCUGUGAGAGACUGAAGGAUUACAGGUCUGUGAGAGACUGAGUCAAGUCUUUUUGUUUAGGUUUUGUUCUAAGGCUAUUUUCCUUUCAUAGAUUAUCAAACGGAAGUAUAAUGCAGCCUUGGAAAUAAUCUGAGACGUCGAUAAAAUGCAGUGCUGCUGGUUAACACGUACAGUCACUGAGGGUGAGGACCAGAGCUGCUUGUUCAGGACUGCCAGUGACUAUCCGAUCUCUACAAUGACUUCCUUUGUGCCCCAAUUCAUCACAUUGUUGCAUUGAUGAGGCUUUACCAUUGAUCCCGUUUUUUUAUUUUCUUAUUUAACUAGACAAGUCAGUUAAGAACAAAUUCUUAUUUACAACGACGGCCUGCCCCGGUCAAACCCAGACGACAAAGGGCCAAUUUUGAAAUGGCCCUAUUGGACUACCAAUCACAGCCGGUGUGAUUCAACCUGGAUUCAAACCAGGGACUGUAGUGACACCUCUUGCACUGAGAUGCAGUGCCUUAGACCACUGCGCCUCUCGGGAGCCCAUUGAUGAGGCUUCACCAUUGAUUCAUCAUUUAAUAUACACACGGCAGCCUUUACAACAUGGCCAUGCUUUUGUCUCUGUGAUGUCGCCGUGAGAAGAUUUACCCAGCCCCUGUUUCACAAGAUCCUCAGAGGAAGAUUUACCCAGCCCCUGUUUAACAAGAUCCUCAUCAAAGGAAGUGAGACAAGCACGAAUUUGAGACAAUUCCUUCCUAUAGAAGGCUAGGCAUGCAUCCCAAAUGGCACCCUAUUCCCCAUAGUGUCAUGGUCAAAAGUAGUGCACUAUAUAGGGAAUAGGGUUCCAUAGGGCUCUGGUCUAAAGUAGUGCACAAUAUAGGGAAUAGGGUUCCAUAGGGCUCUGGUCAAAAGUAGUGCACUAUAUAGGGAAUAGGGUUCUAUAGGGCUCUGGUCAAAAGUAGUGCACAAUAUAGGGAAUAGGGUUCCAUAGGGCUCUGGUCAAAAGUAGUGCACAAUAUAGGGAAUAGAGUGCCAUUUAGGAUACAUACCCAGCCUCUUAAACUCAUCAUCCUCCCUCCUGACCCAUCUAACUAUCACAAUGACACCAAUUAUAGCAGAACUUUUAUCACAUCUACCAUGUUGAGACGGUGUGGUGUCAAUAGCUGUGUCUGGGUUCUAGUCAGAGCACUGAGACAUAGCUGAGACAUUGCUGAGACAUAGCGGUGGUGGAAACAUGUGACAAACUAGGUCAUCAUUUCUCACAUGAUUUCAGACGCUUCAGGAUGUUAAAGACAAAGGUUCAUCAAAACAAAAUGAGAGUACCGGUACUGUAGAUUCUCUGUCAUUCAGUAAGAUAACAUCCACAAUGACAAUAAUACUUUAAAGUUGCAGUUAUAAUUAUAACAGUCCUCAUGACAUAAUUACAAACUAAUAGUGUUUGACAUGAGAUCUUCUACCGCGACUAGGGAUGAACUGAUUUAAGUUAAGGAAAUAAAAUGCAAUAGAAAACACAUCAACGUUGUGCUGAUCAAAACAAAAUGAAGCUUAGAUUUGAUCAGGUCAAAGCGUUGCCCGGCGAUAGCAGACACCCGCAUAGAGGAUGUUUUGGAGGUGUCGGAGGUGGAACUGCGUUGGAGCUGUCAAAUCGCUGAGCAGCUGCUCUUGCGAAGCCACAUCAGCCCCACUCACUUUAGAAUUUCAGAACGAGAAAAGUAUAGGCUAUAUAGAAAUAAUUACACAGAGUGGCGCAGCGGUCUAAGGCACCGCAUCUCAGUGCUAGAGGCGUCACUACAGACCCUGGUUCGAUUCCAGGCUGUAUCACAACUGGUUGUGAUUGGGAGUCCCAUAGGGUGGCGCACAAUUGGCCCAGCAUUGACCUGGUUUGGCCUAGUUAAAUAAAGGUAAAAUAAAUAAAAUAUAAAUAAUGAAGGUUUCUAUCAUCCUAAUGGAGGAGUAGAUUACAUCUAUCAUCUAUCAUCCUAAUGGAGGUGUAGAUUACAUCUAUCAUCUAUCAUCCUAAUGGAGGUGUAGAUUACAUCUAUCAUCUAUCAUCCUAACUGAGGUGUAGAUUACAUCUAUCAUCCUAAUAGAGGAGUAGAUUACAUCUAUCAUCUAUCAUCCUAAUGGAGGUGUAGAUUACAUCUAUCAUCUAUCAUCCUAAUUGAGGUGUAGAUUACAUCUAUCAUCUAUCAUCCUAACUGAGGUGUAGAUUACAUCUCACAUUUCUGUGUUCCAACAAGGCCACAUUUGUGUUAAUGCGACUCCGUGCAAACAAUGGCAAUGUCCUCUUUAGGUAUAAUGCCGGGAGCCAUUUGUGUAUUUGACAGCACUAACGCAGUUCCACCGUCAAAACACCCGCUAUGCAGAUGUUGGCUGAAGCUGAUCUGACUGAAUAGAGCACCUAGUCUAUCUAUCUGGCAUGCACACCACCACUGUAGCUAGACAUGACGUGUGGGUUUUUAAAAACGUUUUCCUGUCGUCGGUUCAUUUGGUCACACAGCAACAUAUUUACACCGUACACUUUUCUUCUUCCUUUAAAAGGGAUAGUUCAAACCAAUUUGUCAUUUUGUAACUUGAACUAUAACUUUAAGUCUGCACUUUAGACAGACUGUUAUAGGUGUGUCCAUACAUACUGUAGCAGCAAAAACACAACUCACAGAGCACUGGUGACAUAGACUUCCUUCACCUCAUAUCCCCCAAAACCAAAGCUCACGUUAGGCCAAACUAAGGUCUGCCCCAGCUCAAAUAUUCUGGAAGGUACAAUAGUCUUCACUUGAAUUCCAUUUCCCAUUCAUGUAAUUCAUAGAAUAGACGUAGGGUCCAAGUCUCCUGUUUUCUUCCUGGUUGAGGCUCCAUAUUAAGUCCAUUUGUAGUGAAGGAGUUCAACCGAGUUCCAGGGUACUAAUGAGGUGUUUGAUUGGACAGAUAGUCACAGUUUCUGUUGAGUAGUAUGAUAUGAUUGGUUGAAAACAGAGUGAAAGGUCCCGUUUAGGAAUAAGAUUGGAGGAACAGUGAAUUGAUCCCACUCAAGAUUUUGUUUGGGUCGGUGGAGGUAAAUUAGAUAAGGGGUGAUCUUCUGAAGGUGAGGGUGGACAGGGUUAUGAUCCAGCUCAAGGUUUUGUUUGGGUCGGUGGAGGUAAAUUAGAUAAGGGGUGAUCUUCUGAAGGUGAGGGUGGACAGGGUUAUGAUCCAGCUCAAGGUUUUGUUUGGGUCGGUGGAGGUAAAUUAGAUAAGGGGUGAUCUUCUGAAGGUGAGGGUGGACAGGGUCAAGGUGGCAGUCACAUUAUAAUGACAUAAUAACAGAAUUAAACUGAAGCGUCUACAGGGCCUAUGUGUCUCACCUCUAUAACUCCAUAAACUACCGCCACUCAGUGAGCUUGUGGUUGUCAUGCACAACAGGGUAGUCCCAUAGCUGUAAACUGUACGGGACGGAUCGGGAUUUGACUCUAAGGUCAUACACGGUCAUGAAACAUCAUUUUACGAUUUCCCUGAAAGAUGCAAUAAUAUAACAUUAGAAGUACAGGAUUUAACUAGAAGUCUCCUGGUGGAAGAAAAACUCUUCCAAUACUAUGAUCCACAUGUAAUCCCUAUCACCCCUACAGACAGUAUACAACCUAAUCCCUAUCACCCCUACAGACAGUAUAGUAUACAACCUAAUCCCCAUCACCCCUACAGACAG